GGGGGGCUUCCGGGGAGACGCCUCCAGGCCCUUCAGCUCCCGCGAGCCCCCCCGCACCCGGCGGCUGGUGGGAGCAGCUGACCCAGGCCUCCCGGGUCUACGCGUCCGGGAGCGGCGAGGGCUUCCCUCUCCCCCGGUGGAGGUCCUGGCGUCCCUCCGGCACCGCCGAAGGAGCCCAGGACGGGCCCCUGCCCGCGGAGGAAGCGGCACCAGGCAGAGGCGUGUGGCUGGGGAGACUGUUUGGGGUGCCGGGGGGCGUCACAGAAGCCGACGGUGGAGCCUUGAAGUCCAGGUAAUGGGGUAGCCGGGCCCCUCCAGGACUCUGGCCCCUUCUCAGAGCCCCCAGUCAUCCCAGUUGGAACCUAUAGAGACCGUUUGCGCCAGAGGUUGGCCGGCUUGUUUUCCUAGGGCCCGAGCGGCACGUGGUUCCCGUUAGGCCCGCCCUGCAAGCCCCGCAGGUGCCGUCCGUGCUCGUGCUCCUGCCCUGGGGUUUGGCCACGGUGGCCUCGGCCUGUCCAGUGAGACUCGGGGCCUCCCUGAGCCCGCUGCUCCCAGAGGCCCCUUCCGGGGCGUCGGUGACCUUGGUGGGCGCCCCCCCCCCCAUCACCGUGAGGGUGCCUGUGUCCCGCAGCUGCCUCCGUGCUCCCAGCAGUGACCCGUCCCUGACCUCUUUUGAGUCAGGCGCCUCCCCACGUCCUCCCUCCUCCCAAACCCCGGGUUCUUGGGUUCUUUUUCUGGAUGCCCGGUGACCCCUGUGACCCUGUGUCCUUCGUCCAGGAGACCGUCCAGCUGGCUGCCGCCGACAGUGAGCGUGUUGGCUCUGGUGAGGCGGGCGCCACCUCCCGAGACUCUGUCUUCCCCCGAGGAGCCUGAGGCCGCAGCCCCGAGCGCCCCGCAGACCCACAGGUCAGGAGGGCGGCUUCUGCUUGGGGAGAGUGGGGGUCAGGGGGGUCGUGGCGCAGAGGCCUGGGGCCACGAGGUCAGCUGGUGACCAGUGUGACGCUGCUGCCUCUCAGCCCGUUUCUCUCUCGUCCGUUGGCGAUGGUCUUAGGAAGACUAAACCUAAGUGUGUGAGGCCUGUGGUGCCCGGCAGGUGCCUGGGACCGGUCACUUGUUGCUGUCCUCUGAGGGGUCAUGCUUCCCUGAGGGUUUUUCAGGUUCAGACCUGCUUCUACUCCGGAGUCUGGCCUCAGCCUGGUUGUCUCAGUGCACCGAAUUAGGUUUCUUUUCUUUUCUUUUUUUAAGCUUAUUUAUUUUGAGGGAGAGCGAGCGCGAGUGCAGGGGAGGGACAGAGAGAGAGAAUCCCAAGCAGGCUCUGCACCGUCAGCACAGAGCCCCAUAUGGGGCUUGAACCCAUGAAUCGUGAGAUCGUGACUUAAGCGGAAAUCCAGUCAGCCGCUUUACCGACUGCGCCACCAGGCGCCCCUGAAUUCAGCUUCUUGGCUUUUCCUUCGCUCAACGAUUCUUUUCAAGUCCUUCUUACGAGCCGGGCGUUAUGCUCUGGGAGGGAACGCGAAGGCACGGGCACUGGAGUCCGUGCCCUCACGGAGCUUGUGGCCCAGGGAGGACCCCGGUGCAGGAACGCGCAGCCCCGUGUGGUGGAUGCUCUGGGAGGGGAGGACUGAGUCCCUCGGGGCCAGGUCUGGGGGCGCAGCUGUGUAGGGGGUACCAGGGUGAUGGCAGCAGCGAGAUGCCUGAGGCCUCAGUGAGUGGGAGGAACCCGGACUCCAUCCUUGAGGCCCUGGGAGGCAGCCUGGGGGGACAGGGGCAGGGAGAGGUGAGCAGACCCUGCCCUGGGGCCCGGGAGUGAGGACGGCAGUGGCGUCCAAGAGGAGGGCGGAUGGAGUGAAGGAGACACAGGCGCCAAACAAGUUUUUUGGGGGGUGGGGACGAUUGGAUGUGGGGUCAGGACGCUGCACAUUCUGGCAGGAGACACCCCCCUCCCCCCAGGGUGGGGGAGAGCAAGGGGGUGUGUUUGCCACGGAGGGGGCCUAGGAGGAGGAACUGGUCCUGAGGGGGGGACUGGUGGGGAGGCCGGGCAGUCGGUCCCCACGCCUCUCCCGGAGCCUCACCUGGCCUGUCCCUCCGGUCCGCAGGGCAGUGCGCGCGCUCUGUGACCACACGGCCGCGGGACCCGGUCAGCUGAGCUUCCGGCGCGGGGAGGUGCUGCGAGUCCUGGGCACCGUGGACGAGGACUGGCUCCGCUGUGGGCGCGAUGGCGCCGAGGGGCUGGUGCCCGUGGGGUACACGUCUCUGGUCCUCUAGGCCGAGGGCCUUUCCAGCCGCGUCGCCCCCCCGGGAACGGUGACCUGUGCAGGCGCCGCAGAAGCAUUGGCCUGUCUGCAAUACGACCUGUCCCCCCCCAGCCCCCCGCGUCCGUGUCUGCCGAUGUGAGAUCCGCUCUCCUUCCUCCCCGUCCCGCCGGUGAAACCUGCUCGUCUUCUAAGUACGAAAGGAAUUUCCCUCCACCUCCCUCCUCUUCCCACCUGCGUAAGGAACCGUUUCCCUUCCCAGCCGCACCUCUGCCUUCGUCGUCUGCGAGCGGACCGUCCCCACACUGGAAGGGCCUGGUCUCCUUCCUGCGCAUGGACACCCCGCAGCGCCCACGUUGCUUGUAUUUAUUCUGUGCUCCGACCCCCCUGCUGGGUGGGCCCGUGGUGCCGGUCCGCCCGCCCCUCCUUU
rnacentral:lncRNA from 1 species